rnacentral:rRNA from 1 species
GAUGAACGCUGGCGGCGUGCCUAAUACAUGCAAGUCGAGCGAAUGGAUUAAGAGCUUGCUCUUAUGAAGUUAGCGGCGGACGGGUGAGUAACACGUGGGUAACCUGCCCAUAAGACUGGGAUAACUCCGGGAAACCGGGGCUAAUACCGGAUAACAUUUUGAACCGCAUGGUUCGAAAUUGAAAGGCGGCUUCGGCUGUCACUUAUGGCUGGACCCGCGUCGCAUUAGCUAGUUGGUGAGGUAACGGCUCACCAAGGCAACGAUGCGUAGCCGACCUGAGAGGGUGAUCGGCCACACUGGGACUGAGACACGGCCCAGACUCCUACGGGAGGCAGCAGUAGGGAAUCUUCCGCAAUGGACGAAAGUCUGACGGAGCAACGCCGCGUGAGUGAUGAAGGCUUUCGGGUCGUAAAACUCUGUUGUUAGGGAAGAACAAGUGCUAGUUGAAUAAGCUGGCACCCUGACGGUACCUAACCAGAAAGCCACGGCUAACUACGUGCCAGCCGCCGCGGUAA